CCUGUUCAGACCAUCUUCAUUUCCAAGCCUGACCCUCCCUUCUGCUUCCCUCCUUCUACAGGUUGGAGUCUUUCCCCUGAAGGCAGGGCCUAGGUCUUUCUAAUUCCUAUGGGACCUUGCCCUCUGUAAAUCCCUGUAGGGGAGCCUCCUGCCUCCAAGGAGAGCGGAAAGAGCUCUCUCUUUCUGGGCUCCUUCUCCUUCCCCAGCUCAGUCUGCAGAGAAUCAAGGCCUGGCCCAAGCACAUCCAGACCCCAAAGCUGGAGGGAAAUGAGAAGUUUUGUUAGAAGGGAGUCUGGAUUCAGAGGGAAUGGCCCCCGGGAGCAGCCGAGCCCCAGCCCAGGUGAGUGCAGUCCACCCCCAGACCUGACUGUCAUCAGCAAUCAG
rnacentral:lncRNA from 1 species